AACAUCUGUGGGACAGCAGGAACACUGACACCUGCAGAAAGAGAAGAAAAAGGAGCAAUCAGGAGCUUUUCCAAAAACCUACCAAGAAGGACAAAGGGGGAAUGUUAAGGACACUUCCUUAUACUGUUUUGCCAACAAUACUUUACCACAGAAAACUGCUGCGCUGUCUGAGAAAUUACUUGAGAUGAUAAUAACACUUAUGCAGUGUUAAUAAGCAGCAUCAUAUGAUUAUAUGAUAGCUCAUACAUACCUCCAAGAAGAAGAGUGUGGUAAGCACUUGAAAGAGUGGAUUAAUUUUUCUCACAGUCUGAAUCUCAUUCCAUUCAUUUGCCACGAAAUACGUUCUCCAUAUGCUCACAGGAACAGUGGCACUCCGCACACCACCCUCACCUGGGAGGGGAGAUCACGUGAGUACAGCACUUUCCCUUUGCGCUGCAGGCAGCAAGAGAAUUAUGGCACAAACACCAAUUUCAGUUACCUUCAACAGCUUUAAGAACUUUUCCUUUCGGCCGUUCCCAAUCAAUAAAGAAUAUAUCUAUGGAAAUCUGGGAUAUGAACUUAUGUAAAAACUGGAGAGCCUAAAAGUAACAUACAACAAAACACUUGAAAAGAAUCAUCACUCAAGAGCAAUUAUAAAGCUACAUACUCUUUACAAAGCAAGUAUAAUCACAAGGGCACAUCAUAUACCAAGCCACACACCUAUUAAUUCGCCUUCUUUUUUUUCCCCCCUUAAAAUAGGAACAUGAGAAAAGAGGAGAUAUCCUCCCUCCCCCUCUCCUACAGGACCCUUGCAUAAAUGACUCCCUUCCUCUAGGCUCUGCACAUUGUCUGACUUCUUUAUACAAAGUUACAGGAACGGUCCAUCUACACCGAGUUCUCAUCCUGGGUGCAUUGUUGACCAAGUACAGGAUGGUAACUCUGCAGAAGAGUUCCUCUCUCAGUGGCUAAAGCAGAGACUUCACGUCCAAAAGACAAUGGGAUGUGGCUACUAAAUAGCUGCUGAUAAUCCUUCCACCGAGACACGGAAAGAAUGGCUCAGUGGUCAAGAGUGCAUACUGCUCCUGCAGAGGACGACCUGAGUUCAAUUCCCAGUUCCCAGGCUGAGUGAGCCAUCGUCAAUUCCACCUCACUGCAGCUCAGUUACAGGGGAACCUAAUGGCUCUGGUCUGCAUGGGAGCCUGCCAUCACUUGCCGCCCCUCCCCCACUACACAUAUACUACUAAUAAAAAAAAAUGUCAUUCACUAUUGUUUUUUAAUAUUCAACAUCCUUAAGAGCUCAGCUUCUCUCUUUUAUUAGACACCAAUAAUUAAGAUUUGAAUAUAUAAGCAAAGGGAUUUGUUUAAAACUUUAAAAAAUAUUACCUUUUGACCAGGAUAAGCUACAACAACAUUUAAGUAGUAUUUAUAAAUACAAGGGCACUGAAUAAUGAAGAACUCACCUUCGCA